GAUGAAGAACGUAGCGAAAUGCGAUAAGUAAUGUGAAUUGCAGAAUUCAGUGAAUCAUCGAAUCUUUGAACGCACCUUGCGCUCCUUGGCAUUCCGAGGAGCAUGCCUGUUUGAGUGUCAUUAAAUUCUCAAGACCUGUCUGCUUUUUUGAUAGGUAUUGGAUUUUGGGGGUUGCAGGCUGUUUCAAAUAAAUAGCCUUGCUCUCCUUGAAUGUAUUAGUGGAGAAAAGCCAUUGAACUCCAUUGGUGUGAUAAAACCUAUCAAUGCCAGGAGCAACAUCACUACUUCUCUCUGCUGUCUAACUGUGACUGUCUGUAUUAAUUAGUAUGGAUGGGGACAACUUGACCAACUUGACCUCAAAUCAGGUAGGACUACCCGCUGAACUUAAGCAUAUCAAUAAGCGGAGGA
rnacentral:misc_RNA from 1 species